CUUGAAAACCCAGUUAAACCUCGUAUCAUCGUCUUCUCUUCCUACUCUACCUCUCUGCCCUAAACUUCACCUAACUGACUACGGCCAACGCCGCGCCGCCUCCUCUAAAAAGGGGAGAGGGAACCUGAAAACAAUCUAUCGAAAAUGUCUGCUAAGUGGCGGGCAUUGCAGCACCGCCACCGCUACACAUACAGCGCGGUCAUAUUCCCAUCCUCUUUUACAGACUCUUUAUCUCAAUCCCUCUUGUCCUUAAACCCAAAGUCUCAACCUUUCUUCACCGAACUCAAUCACCUCAUCUCACUAACUUCAAUCUACUCCCAAGUGGCCCAUGCCAAAAACCUUGCUUCAUCUUUCACCCAUUUAUUAGCAUCGUCCAUAGAUGGAGAUGAUACAGCGCUUUUAAAGACUGGGUCGCGCUUUUAUUUGCAUGUAUUGUUCCUUGAGAAUUCUCUGCCUUUACAUCGAACUUUAGUUUCUGCUUUAUCGAAGGUUAGCAACAGGGAUUAUCAGUCUCUGAUCGGUAAGUGUUUUAGGGAGCUUUGUGAAGAGUAUGGUAGUAGACAAGGGAAAGGGAACAAGAGCAAAAGGUUCUGUUUAUCGCGGGUGGCUUUAUCUAUUCUGGGUAUGCCUAAGUUGGGGUAUUUGGUAGAUGUCAUUGAAGAUUGUGCUCUUUUUGUUGCUUGGGAUGUCGUUUUGGGAUUGGAUAGUGUAGUUUCAGAGACGCGGGAGUGGGCUAGGCCGUCUCCCAUUGUUAUGGAGCAAUGUCAGGAGGCUUUGUCUUGUUCAUAUUACUUGCUUCAGCGGUUUCCGGAGAAGUUUAAGGAGUAUUUGAAUGGUUUUGAUGGUGAAGAGUUAAAUAUUAUGGAGAGGGUUUUGGGGGUUUUGAUAAGCGUGUUGAAAUCAACGGCCUUUUCAAGGGAUUGUUAUGUGGCGGCUGGUGUAAGCUUGUGUGCUGCUUUACAGGUGAGUCUUAGCCCUCAGGAGCUUGCGUUGGUUAUCAUUGAAGGUAUAUUUAAUCAAACUACAUGUAGUUUUCUUAAAAAUAAUUGCGAUGGUGAAUUGAGGGUUGCUCUUUUGAAGAUUCCAUUUAAAGGGGACUUGCAAUCUGAAAUAAAUAGUUUUUCUGUUUUAAGUAGACUUUGCUUGAUUAGAGGGAUUCUUACUGCUGUUUCAAGGACAGUAUUAAAUUCCCAUUUUGUUGUAUCAAAUAAUAAUUUAGACGGCCAUGAGGGAAAUGGAAUUUGUGUUGGCUCUGUUAAGACAAUUUUGUAUGAUAGGAUUUUGCCUGAGCUAUGCAACUAUUGUGAGAACCAUGUUGACAGCCAUUUUAAUUUUCAUGCCUUGACGGUGAUGCAAAUUUGUUUGCAACAGAUGAAGACCUCAAUUUCAGCUAAAAUAACUGAUAUGUCAGAUAAUUAUAAUCCUCUUUCAGAGGAAAUGGGGACCCGCAUACUGAGGAUAAUAUGGAAUAAUUUAGAAGAUCCUUUAAGUCAAACUGUGAAACAAGUUCAUCUGGUUUUUGAUCUUUUCUUAGACAUUCAAUCAACUCUUUGCAUGGAAGAGGGUAGUCACGGAAUAAAAUCAUUUCUAAAAAAGAUUGCUUCAGAUCUUCUUCGACUAGGCCCACGCUGUAAGGGGAGAUACAUCCCUUUAGCUUUAUUGACUAAGAGGCUGGGACCUGGAACUAUGCUGGAAAUGAGUCCUGACCUGCUGUUUGAAACUGCACAAGCCUACACUGAUGACGAUGUGUGCUGUGCUGCCACAACAUUCUUGAAAUGUUUCCUCGAGUCCUUACGUGAUGAGUGUUGGAACAACAAUGGUAUUGAGAAAGGGUAUGCAGUUUAUAGAGGGCAUUGCUUGCCUCCUUUUCUGUAUGGGCUUGCAUCUGGAGUUUCAAAGCUUCGCUCAAAUCUGAAUACUUAUGCUUUGCCAGUUUUACUAGAAAUUGAUGUGGAUAGCAUAUUUCCUAUGCUUGCUUUUAUCUCAAUUGGGCCUAGUGGAGAGGAAAUUGAACUGCCAUUGCCUAAGCUGGGCUUUGCGAACAUAGAACUGGGAGUUGAACAACAAGUAGCUGUCUUAAUCUCUUUGCUUAAGGUAUGUCGGUCACUUGCUUUUAUUGAGGGGGAUAUUGAUUUAUGUGACUCUUCAACUUCGACAGCACUUGAGGCAGAGAAUGGCCUAGAAACAGAAAUUAUGAAUGUAAAUGCUCUUGUCUGCAUAAAAGGGAUAAAGGUUAAGGUUCUCGUUCAAUGGCUAGUAUUAGCAUUGACCCAUUCUGAUGAGUUGCUUCGUGUAGAUGCUGCAGAGACCCUCUUCUUAAACCCCAAAACAGCUAGUAUUCCUUCCCAUUUAGAAUUGACUCUUCUGAAAAAAGCUGUGCCAUUAAACAUGAGAAGUUGCUCUACAGGCUUCCAGAUGAAGUGGACCAGCUUGUUUAGAAAGUUCUUUUCUCGAGUUCGAACAGCCUUGGAGAGACAAUUUAAGCAAGGGAGCUGGCAACCUCUUGUGAACUACCACAAUAAAGGGUCACACUCAUCUAAGGAAACCAAAGAAGGCGUAUUUAAAAGAGCAGGGAAUCUUUUUAAUUUUAUGAGAUGGCUGUCUUGUUUUUUGUUUUUCUCAUGCUAUCCCUCUGCCCCUUACAAAAGAAAAAUAAUGGCCAUGGAGCUCAUAUUGAUAAUGCUUAAUGUUUGGCCUAUUGUACCAUCUUCUCAAGAUAAUUGUGGUUCCAUUGCUUCUGAAAGCUGUCUCUAUCCAUACAGCAGAGGAAUUACUUUACCUGAUUCAACUUUGUUAUUAGUUGGAUCUAUUAUUGAUAGUUGGGACAGGCUGAGAGAGAGUUCUUUUCGCAUAUUGCUUUAUUUUCCUACCCCCCUUCCUGGAAUUUCAAGUGAAGACAUGGUCCGGAGAGUGGUUAUAUGGGCUAAGAACUUAGUUUGCAGUCCACGUGUGAGGGAAAGUGAUGCUGGGGCACUUACAUUGAGGCUUGUAUUCAGGAAAUAUGCUGUAGAGCUAGGGUGGAUUGUCAGAGCUGCUGAUGAUGUUGUUUGUUUUCAAUAUCAAUCUGAACUAGUUAAUGGUGAUAAUCAAAUUAUUGAGUCUAGGCCUCCUGUAGUCGAGUAUAUUAAAUCACUAGUUGAUUGGCUGAAUAGUUUUGUGGAGGAGGGAGAGAGGGAUCUUUCUGAAGCUUGCAAAACAAGCUUUGUUCAUGGUGUGUUACUUACCCUACGAUAUACUUUUGAUGAAUUGGAUUGGAAUUCUGAUGCUAUCUUGUCCAGCAUUCCAGAGAUGAGACAAGUAUUGAAUAAGCUUCUGGAAUUGGUAACCCGAAUCACGUCACUAGCACUUUGGGUGGUUUCUGCAGAUGCUUGGUAUCUUCCUGACAUGGAUGAAAUGGCUGAUAAUGAUAUGUACUUGAUGGAUGAAGUGGAUAUGGUAAGAUCAUCAGAACAUGGGGACAGUGAUUCAAAACAUAGGCAGGAGAGCAGACCAUCAGAACAGAUUGUCAUGGUCGGUUGUUGGCUGGCCAUGAAAGAGGUUAGUCUUCUGCUAGGAACCAUUACAAGAAAAAUUCCUUUACCAAGUAAUAGUUGCUCAGAUUCACUAGAGGCCUUUGUUUCUGAUGCUGCUGAUACUUGCCCACUACCAAAAUUCAAUCCAAUACUUGAUUUGAAACAACUAGAAGAAAUUGGGAGCCACUUCUUAGAAGUCCUUUUGAAGAUGAAGCAUAAUGGAGCAAUUGAUAAGACAAGGGCUGGAUUUACAGCACUUUGCAACCGUUUACUUUGCUCCAAUGACCCAAGACUUUGUAAGUUGACAGAGUCUUGGAUGGAGCAACUUAUGGAAAGAACUGUGGCAAAGGGACAAAUUGUGGAUGAUCUGUUAAGGAGAAGUGCAGGUAUUCCUGCAGCAUUUAUUGCUCUUUUUCUCUCAGAACCUGAAGGGGCACCAAAAAAACUUCUUCCACGGGCUUUAAGGUGGCUAAUAGAUGUUGCUAACAGCUCGUUGCUGGAUCCUGUUUAUGUCAAGGGCAUAAAUGCUGAGUCAAACACGUUUUCAUUAACAAAGUCAGACCAAGAACUUGAUUCUGCAAAGCCAUUUGAGAUGAAUGUGAUGGAGAAAAGCUCAAAGAUCCGAGAUGAGGGUGUAGUUCCAACUGUACAUGCAUUUAAUGUUCUUAGAGCUGCUUUCAAUGACACAAACCUGGCUACUGAUACAUCUGGUUUUGCUGCGGAGGCCUUGAUUGUUUCAAUUCGUUCUUUCUCCUCUCCAUACUGGGAGGUCCGAAAUAGUGCAUGUCUGGCAUACACUGCCUUGGUACGGCGCAUGAUAGGAUUCCUAAAUGUUCAAAAACGAGAAUCUGCACGACGCCUGUUAACUGGGCUGGAAUUUUUUCACAGGUAUCCCACAUUGCAUCCAUUUUUUUACAAUGAACUGAAAGUUGCAACUGAUUUGCUUGUGGAUGCAACUUCUGGGCUUUCAGAAUCCAACCUAGCAAAGGUUGUCCACCCAAGCUUGUGUUCUAUGUUGAUUCUUUUAUCCAGGCUCAAGCCUUCAGCAAUUGCAAGUGAGACUGGAGAUGAUCUGGAUCCUUUCCUGUUUAUGCCAUUCAUCAGGAGGUGCUCAAUUCAGAGCAACCUGCAAGUCCGUGUUCUUGCAUCUAAAGCUUUAAUGGGUCUGGUAUCCAAUGAGAAACUUCCAAUGCUCCUCCUGAAUGUUGCUUCUGAAUUGCCUUGCACAGAUAAUCAAAUCACAGGUGGAGCCUACCGUGCUUCCUUUAAUUCCAUUCAUGGAAUGCUAUUGCAGCUGAGUUCUCUUCUGGAUGCAAAUUGUAGAAACCUGCCUGAUAUUGCAAAGAAAGAAAAGAUUCUUGGGGACUUGAUCCAAGUUCUUGCUACACGUUCAUGGAUUGCAAGCCCCAAACUGUGUCCUUGCCCCAUUAUUAAUGCCUCUUUUGUGAGAAUGCUUGAUCACAUGCUCAGUAUUGCAAGAACAGGCUAUAUGAGUGAAAAAUUUUAUGCCAUUCAUGAUCUGCUGUUGGAGCUAUCUACAGAAUGCCUAGAUGUAGAAGAUUCUUAUGGACUUCCAUAUUAUGAUCCAACUAUAGCAGAACUUCGUGAACAGGCAGCUGUCUCCUACUUCAGUUGUGUGUUCCAGGCAUCUAAAGAAGAAGCUGAAGAGGUUCUUCAGAUGCCACGCGUGCACCUAUCACCUGAUUCAAAAUUGUUGAGCCCAACUGAAAAAAGCAUUUUUUCAGGUCUACAGGAGAGACUGAUUCGUUCCUUGUCAGAUUCAUCAUAUGAAGUUCGACUUGCAACAUUGAAGUGGCUGCUGAAGUUCCUAAAGUCUACAGAAUCUAGCAGUGAGGUUCAUCAUGUGUCUAGCAGUGAGAUUAGAAUUAUUCAGCGCUGGACUAAUUCAGAUCUCCAGGCAACAAUGUCAAAGCUCUUAGAAUGUGAGAAGAAUCAUAGAUGUACAUAUUACAUUCUGAGGAUUCUCUUCUUUUGGAACUUACUGCAGUUUAAGAAGCUUAGUGAUGAAAAAUAUGCCAACAGUAGCUAUCUUGGUACGUUGGAUUUUGAUUCCUUGUCUGAGUUUUGGGAUAAGCUGAUAUCUUUGUACAAGCUCACAAGACAUAUGAAGAUUCGAGAAACACUCAUCUGCUGCAUGGCUAUAUGUGUGAAGAGGUAUGCAAGUUUGUUAACCAGAUAUGUUGUUGCCUACAUGGAGAGCAGUGCUAGAUGUAAUGACAUGGAUCAAUUGGAGAGAUCAGCCCACUUGUAUGAAUGUAUUACCUUUUUUGUUAAUCUGAUUAAAGAACAUAGUUCUACAUCUGAGCCAGUGAACAUGCGCAAGGCAGCUGCUGAAUCUAUAAUUGCAUCGGGUCUGCUGGAACAAGCUGAAUUUAUCAGUUCUUCUGUGUUCUCUCAUGAAAUCCCUUUUGACAUUUCAGGUCUCCAUUUUGAACCAAAAGAAGCUGUUAAUAUGUAUGCUAUUCAGGUGCUGGAAAUAUGGUUCACAUGCAUUAGGUUGCUGGAGGAUGAAGAUGAUGCGGUAAGACAAAUGCUAGCCUCGAAUGUGCAGAAAUGCUUUUCUUCAAAAAGAACUAGAAGCAGCUCUAUUGCUAGAGAGGUCCCAACCCAAGUGGAGAAAGUGAUUGAAUUGAGUUUUGAGUAUCUGUCUUCUAUCUUUGGUCACUGGAUCGAUUACUUUGAUUAUCUUUCAAAGUGGGUAUUUGAUGCUGCAAAUUAUGUGGUAUCAAAAGGAGACCUUGUAAGGCGUGUGUUUGACAAGGAAAUUGAUAAUCAUCAUGAAGAGAAGUUGUUGAUCUGUCAAAUUUGUUGCUCCCAUUUGGAGAAGCUUCCAGUUCUAAAAUUAUUGUUGGGUGAAAUUCCAACCAAACAAGAGUUCAGGAAUUAUUUAUACAACUUGAGAAUGAGAUUCCAAAAUCAGCUGAUUUCAUUUGCCAAGGACCAUGUUGAGAUGCUAGGAAUUGACUGGAUAGGCGGCGUGGGUAACCACAAAGAUGCAUUUCUACCUCUAUAUGCAAAUUUGCUUGGCUUUUAUUCUCUCUCGAACUGCAUUUUCAAUGGGAAAAUUGAAGAUGGUGCGACUCUAGUAGCCGAUGUUGUCGAACUUGGUAAAAACAUCAAUCCAUUUUUUAAAAAUCCUUUGAUUUCUAACCUGUAUUUGUUAGUUGUAGAAUCACAUGAGAAAGAGGUCGGUGGGACUGCUGACCAGCUGGCCUAUAAAUUCUCAGGUGACUCAAUUUGGGACAUUUUUUAUCCCUAUUUUCUUCUUAGGUGAGAUAGAAUUUGUAAAAUAGAUGCAUAAUUUGUUUUACAAUGGCUCAAAGGGAUCAUGACAAGCCACAACCCAUCAUCUUUUUUGGUCUAAAUUCCACUGUGUCAUAUAACAUGGCUGUAUUAUUCUUUGCUAUGCUUGAUAAAGCAGAUCCAAGAUUUUACCUCUCUGAGUAAUGUAGCCUUUCUUUUAUACCAUUUGAUGUAUUGGCACUUUGUGUCUGGAAUCUUGAUGCAAUAAAGCCAUUAUGCGAUGCUUGCAUCUUCAUACUGCUUACCUUGUUUGGAUAUGUAGUCUAAUGAUUGAAUGUUUGUGAUAAUAUAAAAUAUCA
rnacentral:misc_RNA from 1 species